CGCGUGAACGCAGCAUUUUAAACUUCAACCGUUACGGACGUCCGUUUGAGCUCAGCGCUCGAGAGGACGACGAUUAAAUUGGCAAAAUCAAAAAGAAGAAAUGUGGUUUACGGUGCUGUCCGGGCCUGCGCUAUUCUCCGCCAGGAGAAAACGCACAAGAAAACGAUGUUUCAGGAGCAGUCAAAUCACGUGAUCACUGUACACCCAGACUGUUAUAAAUAUGAAUUCAAGAGAAACCACGAAGAACAAAGAGAGGAGGUGAUGAAGAUGCUUCUUCUGUGGAUAUAGCUGGAUGGACUCUGGAGUGCAGCAUUACUUCAAUAAGAUGAAAAUAACACACCUGUAUGAUUCAAGAUGUCAAGCCCCCUGAACGCAAAGAGAGUCUGCAUCAAAAUGGACGUGAACCUGACUGAAAACACAGAGAUGUCAAAAGUAUCUGUUGGCUGUCUACUUUUUGUUCAAUAUGGAGCAUCCAAAUGCCAGUUUCUUUCAUUCAGCACUAUUUAGCCCUUCUCAGUACUGAAUUUGCCACCAUGGGUCAUUUGUUUUUAUUGUUUAAAUGCUUAUCUGAAUGUUAAAUUAUCAUUUAACGCUCAUGAAUUUAAAAAAAAAAAUUCUACUAGCUAGUCUUUUAGUUCAUUUUUUUAGAAACAUUUAUUUAUGUUAACUCUUCUAACUAUUGCUCUAUGAAUUGCAGUGUUUUAUAUUGCUUGUGUCAUUGUAAAUGCUAAUAAAAAUGUCUUAAAUGAUUACA